rnacentral:rRNA from 1 species
CCUACGGGAGGCAGCAGUGAGGAAUAUUGGUCAAUGGACGAGAGUCUGAACCAGCCAAGUAGCGUGAAGGAUGACUGCCCUAUGGGUUGUAAACUUCUUUUAUAUGGGAAUAAAAUGUUCCCCGUGUGGGAUUUUGUAUGUACCAUAUGAAUAAGGAUCGGCUAACUCCGUGCCAGCAGCCGCGGUAAUACGGAGGAUACGAGCGUUAUCCGGAUUUAUUGGGUUUAAAGGGAGCGUAGGUGGAUUGUUAAGUCAGUUGUGAAAGUUUGCGGCGCAACCGUAAAAUUGCAGUUGAAACUGGCAGUCUUGAGUACAGUAGAGGUGGGCGGAAGUCGUGGUGUAGCGGUGAAAUGCUUAGAGAUCACGAAGAACUCCGAUUGCGAAGGCAGUUCACUGGACUGCAACUGACACUGAGGCUCGAAAGUGUGGGUAUCAAACAGGAUGAGAUACCCCAGUAGUC